CCUAUAAAUGUUCUAAUACUACCCGGGCAUGCAAGGGCUCUGAAGGGGGCAAAUUCAUCGUGAGCGUUGAUUCGUCAUGCGAACAGUAAAAUUCCUCCCGCUUUUCACCCUAGCCAUUGGAUCUGUAGAUAUUUUUUGCACUUUCUCAGCUUCCCAUCGAUUCUAUGACAGAUGGGACCUUGUACGUGCGGGGGCCGCCAGUCGGAGGCAGCCACACGGGCUCGUUCGCGUCACCCGCCUUCUCUGAGGCAGUGAAAACCUAGAUCGAGAUCGGGGCCGUGUGCUCCCCCACUCGUCUCCCCCCGCGUCUCAUACCCUUCUCCACAGGCGGCGGCGCGACGGGAUUGACGCCCUCCUCAUCCUCUUCGUUAUCCCACUUCCAACGGCGGAGUCGGCAACGGCGGAGCCGGCCGGGGGGACGCGGACGAGCCGGAGCACGGCGGCGUUCGAGAGAGGAGCAGCUGGCCGCGGGGAGGUCGAGGGCGACGGGCGGUUGGAGAAGGCCCGGCGCGGUGCCGCCGGUGGUCGCGGGAGAGCAGGCCGCGGCCGGCGAGAUCGUGCACGGGAUUGGCCCAAUCCCCACCUCCCACGCCCUCUGCUGCCUCCCCGGCUCGUCUCCUUCCAUCCUCGUUCUUCGGUUUUAGCCAUGGAGGACGCGGAUCAAGUGGCAGCGCAGCACGGGGCUAAGAUUUGUUCAGGGAACGGAGUAGGAGGGCUGGGCCACCAUACGUGCUUCCACGACUGCCUACACCACUUCUCGUCUUCCUCCUGGCCAAAAUCAUGCCUAAAGUGAUGGACUGCUCCCGGAAGAAAGAAGCAUCAGCGGGCAGCGCGUAGAAGAGGAAGCGGGUCGGCGGCGUGGAGGUUGCAGGCUGGCGCGGAGAAGAGGCAGCGGCGGGCGGCGUGGAGAAGAAGAAGCGGGGCGGUGGGUAGCAAGAAGCAGCGGUGCUGCACGGAGAAGAGGCAGCAGGGCGCGGUGCGGGCAAGAAGCGGCAGCGCCGCCCUGUCUCUUGAACAGGCUGGCCCUGGAUGCGGUCAAGAAAUAGUGGGGGCGAUGCAGACGCUGCCCACGAGCUCGUCCUCACGGAGGGAUGCAGUCAAGAAACAGUGGGGGCGGCGCAGACGCCGCCCACGAGCCCGUCCUCACGGAGGACGCUGUAUGCCACGAGCUCGUCCUCACGGAGGCCGCCGUACGCCUCGUGCUUGUCCUCACAGAGGACAGGUCAACUCCGGCGGCCUUUGGCACUGUGCAGGAGAUUGAGCCGGCGGUCUACUGGCUAAGAGGUUCGGUUUCCCUAUCUCCGUCGGUACCAUCCACACCUCCGCGUCAGGCUGGACAGGUGGACGGUAAUGUUCCUUGGCAGGCAGUGGACGGUUCGGAAUGGGGAUGGAUUGAGCAACAAUAGAGUGUUUUCAUUGUCCUAGGGUGGUUUGGGCUGGAGCAUUGGAGCUCCGACGCUUGUGCCGCUGCGCCCCAAAGUUGUGAAAUGGCUUCUACUGGGGCUUAGAAAAGAGCAAGCAGGUCAAGUGACUGAUUUUUGUAGACAUAUGUUCAUGGGGCUAGAAGGUUAAGCCAGGAACAACCUUAGUUGGGGCAUUACUGCAUAAAUAUGAAGGUAAAUGAUCAGGCAACUUUUUUUAUUGUACUUUUGUCAGAAGGGUAGUGAGAGUGAUAGUGGAGCUUGAGAAAUCCUUUACGGGAGGGAUUUACAACCAUAAAUCAAUGGUCGUCAAAUUGUACCACAUGCGACAUCUCCAUUUCAUAGAUCUUGCUUAAACUAUUAGGUGGCUGAAUUUACAGACAAGAAGCCACGGGGCAGCGCGGACAUGAAUCAGCAGGGGCGGCAGUGCUCCGCUUAGAGGAGUUACAGGGGAGAGGAAGGAGGCUGGCGACAGGAGGGAAGAGCAAGCGGCCUUAGUUCAUCAUGGAGAACGACUGAUGCCCAUCCGGAUCCCCUCUACCUUCUUCUUUGAUGAGAAGCUCAUCUUGCCUGGUUGGCUGGUUCGCUUGUCUUCUCCUUUCCUGCUGCAUCCCUUGCCACUUCACUCCUCUUCAUCCCCAAGAACUUGAUGUUGGGCUAUGACUUGUAAUGUUUGGGUUUGGGAGGCGGUAGACUAUUCCACUAGCCGUGACAACACCCAACAUUGGUGCACGGAGAUUCAGUGGUUGUUUCUGCCGUAUUAUUUAUGCCUAUGUCGAUGGUAUCAUCGUAUUGACAUGCUUUACUCUACUGACGUCUUCGUCCAAAGGUUGUUCUCUGUAAGGUCUUAUCUUCAUGUAUGGUUCCUAUUACGAGCUUAACUCGCUGGCACCAGCUGAAGAGCUUAUCCGUCCAAGAGACCAGGAGUGGAUGCGUUUUGGGAUCAUCCUGGUUGUGUAUUCUGAUCGGUUGAAUAUGGUCUAUAUGCAAUGAAAAAGUCUGUACUGCUUACCAGGACGUGGUAUGGAUGGAUGAAGGCAUAGAACAGGCGCAUCCCAGCCUUCUCUUACCCAAAUUUGUGAGGCAAGCAUCCUUCCAUCGUUUUAUGGAUUGAAGAAGGCGCACAAUGAGAUCGGUCCACCCUUCUCUUACCCGGAUCAGCCAAGGGAGCAUCCUUCCAUGACAACGGCCAAAUCAUGUACCGAUGUACGAAGUCAGUUUGCUCUUCCUCCACUUGUAUUUUCAAUCUUUGUGUACACUAAUGGAACUGGUUCAUGUGCAAUAUUAAUUAUCAGCGGCUGAUUUUCUAUUUGAGUAGACUUGAUAUUGUAUAUAUUGCUAAUCAGUGCUAUGUAUGCAUGUGCUUCACAAUUUUUAGACAAUACUGUAAAUUUGCAAAUAAAGUGACAAAGGAUGGAAUCAAGCUAGGGACAUCGCAUUAUUUUUUUU